rnacentral:rRNA from 1 species
GGAUGCGAUUAUACCAGCACUAGCGCACCGGAUCCCAUCAAAACUCCGAAGUUAAGCGUGCAUGUGUGAAACUGGUACUAGGAUGGGUGACCCCUUGUGAAGUCCUCGUGUUGCAUCAC